UUCAUAUAAAAAGACACUAUGAAAACAUUAGAGGACUACUUUGUACAAUCUUAUGUAUAAAAAGAACAGAAAUGAGGGAGAAAAGGAAAAGGGAGGACUCAGUUAUAAAUCAACUGGAAUGUCGGGUGGUUAUAGCAGUUGGUUAACACCUAAGCAUCGAAGGCCGAGGGGUGAAGGUGAAGGUGAGCACAGGUUUGGAUUGGCAUCCACCACAGAAGGAGCAGAACUACCUGCUUCUGAUGUACGGGUCAUUAUGCGCAUUUAAUCAGGCUUUCAGCACACACAAAGAAAAAGAUGACAAACAACAGCUGACCUGCAUCCUCUCCUCUGUCAAACAGGCUAUCAUAGGAAAGAUUGUAAGCUUUGCAAGAUGACCCUCAUUGAACCCAAACAAAAUGUGGUGACACUGAAGUCAUACUAGGGCUACUUCACACCUGACCUUCCAGACCUGGGUUUUUGUUACUUUGUGUGUUUCAUCCAGUUGCAUUUGGCUUCACACAUUAAAUACAUUUACAUGCUGUACCUGCUUUAUGUUGUUCAGAUUGUAGAGGUAUGCAUUUCAUCUUCAGUUCUGCAGGUAACCUUUACUGUUUGAGAACUUAUUUUGCCAAAUUAUCCACACAGAUAAUAUAAGUUGAUUUUUCUUUUAUUUUUUUGUUGGCCCUUAUUUCUACCAUAAACUCCAUCUCCAACUCACAGAGAACCAAAUGGCACCACUGACCCUCGUCAACAAUUCUCCAAGUAGCUACUCAUGGCACUACGUGAGCUAAAAAAAAUUUCCCAAAUGAUAAAAAGAGAUGUCUGUAAAACUGACAGGAUAACUAUAACUCCAGAAACAGGUUGGGUAUUAUUCUGUUUACCAUGUUUUGAAUAUGAAAUUCUUGGCUGCUGCUGUGGGCUGCUUAACAUGCAAUUAACCCUGAGGCCAGAAACAGCUUUGGUGCAUGUGCCAGUGAAAAACAUGCCAUUGUGGAGUCCGACAUCCAGUCUUUUACAGUGCAAUACUUUUUUUUUCUUUCUUAAUAGCUGACAAUAGCUGAACAUAACCUCCUAGAAUUCUUCUGUGUCUGAACAAUCCAGGUCAAGUGUUUUCACACUCGAAACAAUCUGAGCCAUGGUUCGCUUUUUGAGCCAAGAUCAUCCAUUUUUACCCCGUCCCCAAAGGGCAGGCAAGGGGUAUCGUUUUUGGUUCCGUUUGUU